rnacentral:rRNA from 1 species
AGCGAACGCUGGCGGCAGGCCUAACACAUGCAAGUCGAACGAAGUCUUCGGACCUAGUGGCGGACGGGUGAGUAACACGUGGGAACGUGCCUUUAGGUUCGGAAUAACUCAGGGAAACUUGUGCUAAUACCGAAUGUGCCCUUCGGGGGAAAGAUUUAUCGCCUUUAGAGCGGCCCGCGUCUGAUUAGCUAGUUGGUGAGGUAAAGGCUCACCAAGGCUACGAUCAGUAGCUGGUCUGAGAGGAUGACCAGCCACAUUGGGACUGAGACACGGCCCAAACUCCUACGGGAGGCAGCAGUGGGGAAUCUUGCGCAAUGGGCGAAAGCCUGACGCAGCCAUGCCGCGUGGAUGAUGAAGGUCUUAGGAUUGUAAAAUCCUUUCACCGGUGAAGAUAACGACUGUAGCCGGAGAAGAAGCCCCGGCUAACUUCGUGCCAGCCGCCGCGGUAAUAC